rnacentral:rRNA from 1 species
GAUGAACGCUAGCUACAGGCUUAACACAUGCAAGUCGAGGGGAAACGGCAUUGAGUGCUUGCACUCUUUGGACGUCGACCGGCGCACGGGUGAGUAACGCGUAUCCAACCUUCCUAUUACUGUGGGAUAACCUGCCGAAAGGCAGACUAAUACCGCAUAGUCUUCGAUGACGGCAUCAGAUUUGAAGUAAAGAUUUAUCGGUAAUGGAUGGGGAUGCGUCUGAUUAGCUUGUUGGCGGGGUAACGGCCCACCAAGGCGACGAUCAGUAGGGGUUCUGAGAGGAAGGUCCCCCACAUUGGAACUGAGACACGGUCCAAACUCCUACGGGAGGCAGCAGUGAGGAAUAUUGGUCAAUGGACGGAAGUCUGAACCAGCCAAGUAGCGUGCAGGAUGACGGCCCUAUGGGUUGUAAACUGCUUUUGUAUGGGGAUAAAGUUAGGGACGUGUCCCUAUUUGCAGGUACCAUACGAAUAAGGACCGGCUAAUUCCGUGCCAGCAGCCGCGGUAAUACGGAAGGUCCAGGCGUUAUCCGGAUUUAUUGGGUUUAAAGGGAGCGUAGGCUGGAGAUUAAGUGUGUUGUGAAAUGUAGACGCUCAACGUCUGAAUUGCAGCGCAUACUGGUUUCCUUGAGUACGCACAACGUUGGCGGAAUUCGUCGUGUAGCGGUGAAAUGCUUAGAUAUGACGAAGAACUCCGAUUGCGAAGGCAGCUGACGGGAGCGCAACUGACGCUUAAGCUCAAAGGUGCGGGUAUCAAACAGG